UACGUAGGGUGCAAGCGUUGUCCGGAAUUAUUGGGCGUAAAGAGCUCGUAGGCGGUCUGUCGCGUCUGCUGUGAAAAACCUAGGGCUUAACUCUGGGCGUGCAGUGGGUACGGGCAGGCUAGAGUGCGGUAGGGGAGACUGGAAUUCCUGGUGUAGCGGUGAAAUGCGCAGAUAUCAGGAGGAACACCGGUGGCGAAGGCGGGUCUCUGGGCCGUAACUGACGCUGAGGAGCGAAAGCAUGGGGAGCGAACAGG
rnacentral:rRNA from 1 species